rnacentral:rRNA from 1 species
AUGAAAAAAUACUGGUGGGGUAGCUCUAUUGACAAGAGAUCACUUCACUGGCUAUCGUGGAAGAAAUUAAUCGAGCCGAAGAUCAAAGGGGGGAUGGGUUUUAAAGACCCUAAACUUUUUAAUCUUGCCAUGCGAGGUAAGCAAGGCUGGCGGUUGUUCACACAUCCCAACAGUUUAUGUGCGCGUGUACUGAAGGGAAAAUAUUACCCACACACUAAUUUUCUGCAUGCAACGGUUCCCACUUGAGCAUCCUCAACCUGGAGAGUGAUCGUGGCAGGCAGAAAAGCUCUGGACACUGGACUAAUUAACAGGAUUGGAGAUGGCUCCUCUAUAUCUAUAUGGACCGACUAG